rnacentral:rRNA from 1 species
UACAGAGGUCUCAAGCGUUAUUCGGAAUCACUGGGCUUACAGAGUUCGUAGGCGGUCCAGAAAGUGGGGUGUGAAAGCCCUCGGCUUAACCGAGGAACUGCGCUCCAAACUACUGGGCUAGAGGAAGAUAGAGGUGAGCAGAACUGAUGGUGGAGCGGUGAAAUGCGUUGAUAUCAUCAGGAAUACCAGAGGCGAAGGCGGCUCACUGGGUCUUUUCUGACGCUGAGGAACGAAAGCUAGGGGAGCAAACGGG